rnacentral:rRNA from 1 species
AGCGAACGCUGGCGGCAGGCUUAACACACGCAAGUCGAGCGGGCAUAGCAAUAUGUCAGCGGCAGACGGGUGAGUAACGCGUGGGAACGUACCUUUUGGUUCGGAACAACACAGGGAAACUUGUGCUAAUACCGGAUAAGCCCUUACGGGGAAAGAUUUAUCGCCGAAAGAUCGGCCCGCGUCUGAUUAGCUAGUUGGUGAGGUAAUGGCUCACCAAGGCGACGAUCAGUAGCUGGUCUGAGAGGAUGAUCAGCCACAUUGGGACUGAUACACGGUCCAAACUCCUACGGGAGGCAGCAGUGGGGAAUAUUGGACAAUGGGCGCAAGCCUGAUCCAGCCAUGCCGCGUGAGUGAUGAAGGCCCUAGGGUUGUAAAGCUCUUUUGUGCGGGAAGAUAAUGACGGUACCGCAAGAAUAAGCCCCGGCUAACUUCGUGCCAGCCGCCGCCGUAA